rnacentral:misc_RNA from 1 species
GAUGAAGAACGUAGUGAAAUGCGAUACGUAAUGUGAAUUGCAGAAUUCAGUGAAUCAUCGAAUCUUUGAACGCAUAUUGCGCUCUCUGGUAUUCCGGAGAGCAUGCUUGUUUGAGUAUCAGUAAACACCUCAACUUCCAUAUCUUUUUUGAAAUGGGAGUUGGACUUGAGUGAUCCCAACGCUUUUCCUCACCGAAAAGUGGCGGGUUACUUGAAAUGCAGGUGCAGCUGUACUUUUCUCUGAGCUAUAAGCAUAUCUAUUUAGUCUGCCUAAAAAACAGAUUAUUACCUUUGCUGCAGCUAACAUAAAGGAGAUUAGUUCUUGUGCUGACUGAUGCAGGAUUCACAAAGACAGGCUUCGGCCGACUUUGUAAACUCGAUCUCAAAUCAAGUAAGACUACCCGCUGAACUUAAGCAUAUCAAUAAGCGAGGA